rnacentral:rRNA from 1 species
UACAGAGGGGGCAAGCGUUAUUCGGAAUUAUUGGGCGUAAAGGGCGCGUAGGCGGCUUGGCAAGUGGAAGGUGAAAUCCCUCGGCUUAAACCGAGGAACUGCCCUCCAAACUGCUUGGCUUGAGACCGGGAGAGGUGAGUGGAAUUCCCAGUGUAGCGGUGAAAAUCCGCAGAUAUUGGGAGGAACACCGAUGGCGUAGGCAGGUAACUGGCUCGUCCCUGACACUAAGGCACGGAAAAGCGUGGGGGAGACCAAACGGGG